UAUUCCCUUUACGUUCAAGAUAAACCAGAAUUAGAAUAGUUUCGACACAUUUCUCUCCAAUUUCAAAACUAUUUAACAAAACAACUUCACGAAAGAUAUAUAUUCCGUUUUCAUUAACAGGAACUUUGUCUGCAGAUUUUGAAUAAACCUUGUCCAAAUAUUUUAAUACACUAGAUAUCAUUUGCAUUGAAACAAUGUGAUCCUUCCAGGAAUUAACUAAAGACGAUAAAAAUCUAUGAGCCGCUUCCAAUGAUCUCGACCAUGAAGUAGAAUAGGAAUCAUUUUUUCUAAUAUCCAAUAGAGCAUUCCCUAAU